GAUGAACGCUAGCGGCAGGCCUAAUACAUGCAAGUCGAACGGUAACAUGAGUAGCAAUACUUGAUGACGAGUGGCGCACGGGUGCGUAACGCGUAUGCAAUCUACCUUCAACUGGUGAAUAGCCCGAAGAAAUUCGGAUUAAUACACCAUAGUAUAAUUGAGUGGCAUCACUUAAUUAUUAAAACUCCGGUGGUUGAAGAUGAGCAUGCGUGACAUUAGCUAGUUGGUGAGGUAAUGGCUCACCAAGGCUACGAUGUCUAGGGGAUCUGAGAGGAUUAACCCCCACACUGGUACUGAGACACGGACCAGACUCCUACGGGAGGCAGCAGUAAGGAAUAUUGGACAAUGGUCGCAAGACUGAUCCAGCCAUGCCGCGUGAAGGAUGAAGGCCCUAUGGGUUGUAAACUUCUUUUGUACGGGAAAAAACCCCUCUACGUGUAGAGGGCUGAUUGUACUGUAAGAAUAAGGAUCGGCUAACUCCGUGCCAGCAGCCGCGGUAAUACGGAGGAUCCAAGCGUUAUCCGGAUUCAUUGGGUUUAAAGGGUGCGUAGGCGGAAUGAUAAGUCAGUGGUGAAAUCCUGCAGCUUAACUGCAGAACUGCCAUUGAUACUGUCAAUCUUGAGUACAUUUGAUGUGGGCGGA
rnacentral:rRNA from 1 species